rnacentral:rRNA from 1 species
CAGUCGCCGCGGUAAAACGUAGGGAGCAAGCGUUGUCCGGAAUCAUUGGGCGUAAAGCGCGCGUAGGUGGCCAUGUAAGUCCGCUGUGAAAGUCGAAGGCUCAACCUUCGAAAGCCGGUGGAUACUGCAUGGCUAGAGUACGGAAGAGGCGAGUGGAAUUCCUGGUGUAGCGGUGGAAUGCGCAGAUAUCAGGAGGAACACCAAUAGCGAAGGCAGCUCGCUGGGACGUUACUGACACUGAGGCGCGAAAGCGUGGGGAGCGAACAGGAUUAGAGACCCCAGUAGUCCCUGUCUCUUAUAC